rnacentral:rRNA from 1 species
GACGAACGCUGGCGGCGUGCUUAACACAUGCAAGUCGAACGGAAAGGCCCUGCUUUUGUGGGGUGCUCGAGUGGCGAACGGGUGAGUAACACGUGAGUAACCUGCUCUUGACUUUGGGAUAACUUCAGGAAACUGGGGCUAAUACCGGAUAGGAGCUCCUGCUGCAUGGUGGGGGUUGGAAAGUUUCGGCGGUCGGGGAUGGACUGGCGGCUUAUCAGCUUGUUGGUGGGGUAGUGGCUUACCAAGGCUUUGACGGGUAGCCGGCCUGGGAGGGUGACCGGCCACAUUGGGACUGAGAUACGGCCCAGACUCCUACGGGAGGCAGCAGUGGGGAAUAUUGCACAAUGGGCGGAAGCCUGAUGCAGCAACGCCGCGUGCGGGAUGACGGCCUUCGGGUUGUAAACCGCUUUCGCCUGUGACGAAGCGUGAGUGACGGUAAUGGGUAAAGAAGCACCGGCUAACUACGUG